rnacentral:rRNA from 1 species
CCUACGGGAGGCAGCAGUGGGGAAUAUUGGUCAAUGGACGCAAGUCUGACCCAGCAACGCCGCGUGAAGGAAGACGGCUUUCGGGUUGUAAACUUCUUUUGACAGGGAAGUGUAGAAGACGGUACCUGUCGAAUAAGCCACGGCUAACUACGUGCCAGCAGCCGCGGUAAUACGUAGGUUGCAAGCGUUGUCCGGAUUUACUGGGUGUAAAGGGCGUGUAGCCGGGUUGACAAGUCAGAGGUGAAAUCCUGCGGCUUAACCGGAGAACUGCAUUUGAAACUGUUGGUCUUGAGUGUAGGAGAGGCAGACGGAAUGCAUAGUGUAGCGGUGAAAUGCGUAGAUAUCAGGAGGAACACCGGUGGCGAAGGCGGUUUGCUGGACAGCAACUGACGGUGAGGCGCGAAAGCGUGGGGAGCAAACAGGAUUAGAUACCCGAGUAGUC